GGAAGUAGAAGCUACAGAGGAAAUCGAGUAGUUUUAAAAGAACAAAUUUAUCUAAAUAUCUAUAACAAUCUAAGGAAUGAUACUCAGUUCACAAAUGAUUGUAGUGCUUUGCAAAAAAUAGCGUUUUUAACAGGGGUUCCCUAUAGUACAAUAUGCCUGUAAAAAAAGGAUUAAACACAGAAUAAAAGGGAAAGAUGCAGGACAAUCAAAGGGACUUGACAUGGAUAUUGCCAAAUUGCUAAGGAAAGGUGUGUAUUCUAAAUACAAAAACAAUGAUGUUCUGACCAUAUAGACACCUUAUCGGCAAGAGACAAACAUUUCUCAGUCUCAACCUUGCGGAGAUACCUGAUAAAACUUGGAUUUAAGCUUAAGAUGGUUAACAAAAGAGCUGCUGUAAUGGAAUUGUCAGGAGGUGUAUAGAAUAUUUGAGGAAAAUUAAAAAAAUUUGGGAGGAAGAAAGAUCCAUGUAUUAUUUAGCCGAAACAUGAUAUGAUACAUUUAUGAUUGAUGUAUAAUUUCCAUUCUCUGGGAAAAAAGUCUCUUUUUUGCCAUAGUAAGAAAACCAUAUUUUUAUUAAUAAAACAAGUUUAAAAUUUUGUUUUUUACAGCUUACUGCCCCUGUUGUCCUUCAGUGAUACAAUAAAGACUGCUUCUUCCACCAUUCUCUGGGAAAAAUCCUGUUUUGCUAUGCUUACUACCCCUGGUGUCCUUCAGCAACACAAUGAAGACUGCUUCUUCCUCUAUUCUCUGGAAAAAAGUCCCUUUUUUGCCAUAGUUAAUAAUACUUACUGCCCCUGUUUGUCCUUCAGCGACACAAUAAAGUAUAUAUAAUGUAAUGCUUUAGAAUCCAUAUGCUGAUGUGCGAGAUGAAGUUGGAAUCCAUGGCGGCAACAGAGAAACUGUUUCCUUCCUUAAUGGAAGAAACUGCUAAAGAACAAUGGCAAAAAAACAGAAUUUACAAAAUUUGUAUUAAUUUUUUGGGCCAGAUUCAAAAGAGUGGUUAAAUUUAUAAAAUUAUUUAGUAUC